CCCAUCACUUGGGGAUAACUUUGCGAAAGUAAGACUAAUACCCAAUGACGUCUCUAGAAGACAUCUGAAAGAGAUUAAAGAUUUAUCGGUGAUGGAUGGGGAUGCGUCUGAUUAGCUUGUUGGCGGGGUAACGGCCCACCAAGGCGACGAUCAGUAGGGGUUCUGAGAGGAAGGCCCCCCACAUUGGAACUGAGACACGGUCCAAACUCCUACGGGAGGCAGCAGUGAGGAAUAUUGGUCAAUGGACGAGAGUCUGAACCAGCCAAGUAGCGUGCAGGAUGACGGCCCUAUGGGUUGUAAACUGCUUUUAUAAGGGAAUAAAGUGAGUCUCGUGAGACUUUUGCAUGUACCUUAUGAAUAAGGACCGGCUAAUUCCGUG
rnacentral:rRNA from 1 species